rnacentral:lncRNA from 1 species
GUUAAAGUUAUAUGUUACUAUAAUUUACUUCUGUCUACCAAAAUAACUUUACCAAAAAUCUCUGGUAUUUAGUGGAAUUUUGUUGUGGUAAAGUAAUAAAAAAGAUACAGUAAAGAAUUGUGAAGUAAUUUAGUUUUCUAUAUGUUUUGUUAUGUAUUUUAAAAAUCUGUGAUUUAACAUUGUGAUUGAAAAAAUGAGAAUAACAAUUAUGCAUCAAUUGAAAAAAAAUGUGUACAAUCGAACUUUUCAGUUAAAAAUCAUACCACAUCUUCUUAUAUCUAUUGAAUGAAUUUGACCCUUGACUUUAACUUCAACUUGUACAUACUCUUGUGAUAAUUCUAAAAAUUUUCUUUUUGUAUUCCAGAUAUAUAUUAAUGGUCCUUUAGACUCCUGAAACCUGGGGCUCUUAGCCAAACACUAAAUUCAAGUCACAGCAACAACUUACAGUCCACUCGGAGCUGGAGACAUAACCAGCAGAAUUUAUAGGUUAGAAUGCUAUU